rnacentral:rRNA from 1 species
CGAAUCGCAUGGCCUUGUGCCGGCGAUGGUUCAUUCAAAUUUCUGCCCUAUCAACUUUCGAUGGCAGGGUCUUGGCCUGCCAUGGUUACAACGGGUAACGGAGGGUUAGGGCUCGACCCCGGAGAAGGAGCCUGAGAAACGGCUACUACAUCCAAGGAAGGCAGCAGGCGCGCAAAUUACCCAAUCCCGAUUCGGGGAGGUAGUGACAAUAAAUACUGAUACAGGGCUCUUUUGGGUCUUGUAAUUGGAAUGAGUACAAUUUAAAUCCCUUAACGAGGAACAAUUGGAGGGCAAGUCUGGUGCCAGCAGCCGCGGUAAUUCCAGCUCCAAUAGCGUAUAUUAAAGUUGUUGCAGUUAAAAAGCUCGUAGUUGAACCUUGGGCCUGGCUGGCCGGUCCGCCUCACCGCGUGCACUGGUUCGGCCGGGCCUUUCCCUCUGGGGAGCCUCAUGCCCUUCACUGGGUGUGUUGGGGAACCAGGACUUUUACUGUGAAAAAAUUAGAGUGUUCAAAGCAGGCCUAUGCUCGAAUACAUUAGCAUGGAAUAAUAGAAUAGGACGUGUGGUUCUAUUUUGUUGGUUUCUAGGACCGCCGUAAUGAUUAAUAGGGACAAGUCNGGGGCAUUAGUAUUCAAUUUGUCAGAAGGUGAAAUUCUUGGAUUUAUUUGAAAACUAACUUCUGCGAAACNU